UAGACAGAAUGUCCAUUCCUGCAAGACCAAACUGCAAGAACACUACAGCAAAAAAAGGCUUGGCUGAGACACACCAUUGGCUAACUUGGGGAUUCAUCCUGCUUAAAGGAUGUUGAAGCUGAAGCUGAUAGAGAACAGGAGGCACUAAAACAAUUGAUCCUAGCAAAGUAAUUGGCUUGAUAUCAUAUGGUUUAAACUUGAAAGACCCUUGGGAUCAACCAAUAGUCCUUAUUUUUAAAGCCUCUUAGAACCAGAUUGUUGGUGGAAGAUGAGCAAUGAAAUACAGAUUCCAUUACGUGGGAGAAUUGGAUAAUGCUUUGAUUCUAUAGAGUAAGCCUCGUACUUGACAGGUUAUUCCAUAGAAUAUAAUCUUGAGAUUAUUUUUUUUUUCUUUUUUCUUUCUUGCCAAACAAAUACAUUUCUAUAUUUUAAUUCCAUUCUAAGUUGGGGUUUUUUUCUCUUCUUAAAUAAUAUUCACUUUGAUAGCCAUUGGGGAAAAGAAAAGAAAAAAAACUAUUCUUUUUGGCUAAUUUCCAUGUCUCUUAUUUGGUGAUUUCUUUUCUUCACACCUCAACUUGUCUAUGACAUUUCUUAAUCAAAUUGGAUAUUUAUUUAUUUAUUUCUUCA